CGCGUGUAGCAGUGAAAUGCGUAGAUAUGCGGAGGAAUACCAAUGGCGAAGGCAAUCCCCUGGGCUUACACUGACGCUCAUGCACGAAAGCGUGGGGAGCAAACAGGAUUAGAUACCCUGGUAGUCCACGCCCUAAACGAUGCCGACUGGUUGUUGGGAAUUUACAUUCUCAGUAACGUAGCUAACGCGUGAAGUCGGCCGCCUGGGGAGUACGGUCGCAAGAUUAAAACUCAAAGGAAUUGACGGGGACCCGCACAAGCGGUGGAUGAUGUGGAUUAAUUCGAUGCAACGCGAAAAACCUUACCUACCCUUGACAUGUCACUAACGAACUAGAGAUACAUUAGGUGCCCGUAAGGGAAAGUGAACACAGGUGCUGCAGGGCUGUCGUCAGCU
rnacentral:rRNA from 1 species